rnacentral:rRNA from 1 species
UACGGAGGGGGCUAGCGUUGUUCGGAAUUACUGGGCGUAAAGCGAGUGUAGGUGGUCGCCGUAGUCAGGUGUGAAAGCCUUGAGCUCAACUCAAGAAAUGCACUUGAUACUGGGCGACUAGAGGACCGGAGAGGAUAGUGGAAUUCCCAGUGUAGUGGUGAAAUACGUAGAGAUUCGGAAGAACACCAGUGGCGAAGGCGGCUCACUGGACCGGCAUUGACGCUGAUGUGCGAAAGCGUGGGGAGCAAACAGG